GAGAAAACUCUGUGGCCGAGGGGAGUUUAUGAAGAUGCAGUUGCUAAAAGUAGAAAUGCAGAUGCUGGACUACUUCAUGAUGCAAACUGCAUUGAACACAUUCACUGUACCAUUGUCUUCAUCGCUGAAAGUGUUCAGGAACUGAAAAUGAAGGAGGAGAAGAGAUCAUCACGGUUUUAUCCUGUACCAAAGCAGAUGGAGAAGAAACAACAACGUAAGAAAGUGCGCUUUCGGAAGAAGUAAUAAAGACUGGUUCACAGAAACUGAAGACAAAGGAUAGAAGACAGGUGUUUGUGCAUGAAAUGAGUUGAAUAACUUAUGAAAAGAAAUUGGAGCUAUGUUUGUAAUGAGGUACAUCUUCAUCAUAGACUGAGUUUGAGUGUGUUAUAAUUUGUUUUAUGAUUAAUGCAUCUAUAGCAUUACUUAUGUAUAUUACAUGUAUUACUUAUGCAUAUCAUGUUUCAUUUCUCUAUGUACUUAUAUUACUAUUGGUAAUGAAACUUGAAACCUAAAAUGAUAGAGGUAUUUGGUGUCUAUGUUGUUUGUAAUUAACUGAACUGUAUGUAAUAUGCUUAUGUUUGUGCAGUUUUGUUCUGACUAAUAUUGACCCUCUUGCAGAGGCCAAAU